UACGGGGGGGAGCAAGCGUUGUUCGGAAUCACUGGGCGUAAAGGGUGCGUAGGCGGGUCUUUUAAGUCAGGGGGUGAAAUCCUGGAGCUCAACUCCAGAACUGCCUUUGAUACUGAGGAUCUUGAGUUCGGGAGAGGUGAGUGGAACUGCGAGUGUAGAGGUGAAAUUCGUAGAUAUUCGCAAGAACACCAGUGGCGAAGGCGGCUCACUGGCCCGAUACUGACGCUGAGGCACGAAAGCGUGGGGAGCAAACAGG
rnacentral:rRNA from 1 species